rnacentral:rRNA from 1 species
AUGGAUCGGUACCAGCGGGUCGAGAAGCCGCGGCCCGAGGCCGCCGCCAUCAGCGAGAACGAGAUCCGUAUCACCACACAGGGCCUCAUCCGCAACUACGUCACCUACGCCACCUCCCUCCUCCAGGAAAAACGGGUGAAAGAAAUUGUGUUGAAGGCCAUGGGACAAGCUAUCAGCAAGACAGUGGCUAUUACUGAGAUCAUAAAGAAAAGGAUCCCUGGGUUGCAUCAAGAUACAACAAUCAGUUCAGUCAGUAUUACUGAUGUAUGGGAACCCAUUGAGGAAGGCCUUGUACCAUUGGAGAUGACUCGUCAUGUUUCAAUGAUCUCGAUCUCCUUGUCGCCUAAGGAGCUUGACACAAAUUCACCCGGAUAUCAAGCUCCAUUGCAUGCAGAGCCACUUAAACCUAGGUACCAGCAAGUUCAGCGAUAUCAACAACAGCACCAGCCAAGACAAAAUCAAGUUCAAACAGAUUCAUAUGUACGUGGAAGAGGCAGAGGGAGAGGAAGGGGCUUGGGUGGUAGGGGAGGGUAUGGUGGAGGUUAUGGUGGGUAUGAUAAUAACCAAGGAGGUUAUGGUGGAUAUAGCAACCAGGGAGGAUACGGCCACAACCAAGGUGGGUAUGGCAAUCAUGGAGGAUACGGCCACAACCAAGGUGGGUAUGGCAACCAGGGAGGUUAUGGCAACCAGGGAGGGUACAGCCAAAACCAAGGUGGCUAUGGAGGGGGUUAUGGUUAUGACCAAGGUGGAUAUGGGGGAUAUGAUAAUGGUGGCUGGAAUUACAACCAGAACAGAGGCCGUGGUGGCGGUGGGCGAGGAAGAGGCAACUGGGGAUACAGUGGUCCAGGAUACGAGCGCGGUGGACGAGGUGCAGGUGGCCCAGGCGGCAGGGGCUACGUGCGGGGCCGUGGUCGGAUGGGUCCUGGCCGCGGGCGGGGCAACCAGAACUAUUAG